AUGAUGGCAGUGUGCAGAUGUGCACAGCUGACAGGGAGAGACCUGUGCACAGAGACUCAAGGCUAUCAUGGCUGCCAAAGAUGCAUCCACUAAAUACUGACUAGAAGGGGGUCAGAAGACUGAAAACAUUACCAUCAAUGAUAAAACUGCAAGUGUUCCUCCACCUGGACCCACCACUUCUUGCUCCUGGAGGAGCCACCCCUUGAGGGCAUCCAGCUGAAGAAAGCUCCUCCCCUUCCUGUCAGCAGCAUAUAAAAACACAGUGACCCCAGAGAUGGUCGUCGCAUUCUGAUGUGAAGUUUAUCAAAGUCUGU